GUACACUCCUGCGGGAGGCAGCAGUGGGGAAUAUUGGACAAUGGGCGCAAGCCUGAUCCAGCCAUGCCGCGUGAGUGAUGAAGGCCCUAGGGUUGUAAAGCUCUUUCACCGGUGAAGAUAAUGACGGUAACCGGAGAAGAAGCCCCGGCUAACUUCGUGCCAGCAGCCGCGGUAAUACGAAGGGGGCUAGCGUUGUUCGGAUUUACUGGGCGUAAAGCGCACGUAGGCGGACUAUUAAGUCAGGGGUGAAAUCCCGGGGCUCAACCCCGGAACUGCCUUUGAUACUGGUAGUCUUGAGUUCGAGAGAGGUGAGUGGAAUUCCGAGUGUAGAGGUGAAAUUCGUAGAUAUUCGGAGGAACACCAGUGGCGAAGGCGGCUCACUGGCUCGAUACUGACGCUGAGGUGCGAAAGCGUGGGGAGCAAACAGGAUUAGAAACCCUGGUAGUCCCAUGAU
rnacentral:rRNA from 1 species